CCAGCUGGUUAGUAAGAAGACUAUAAGAAGAGAGAGUUAACACACUGAAGUUCAAUAAGAAAUUAAAUCAAUAUUAUAUUAUAUCAAAUAUUAUAAAAUUAAUUUUAAGUUAACUAGUAAUUACCUCAUACAAGCUAAGUAAAAUACUGAUAGUGCGGCAUAAACAUCAAUUUUGUUUGUCUCAAAUCCGCAUUUUUCUUUUUUAUCUCAUUAAGGAGAUUCCAAUAGACGUAAGAACAGUUUUUAUAAAAUUUUGGGGACUGUCUGUAAUGUUUUCAGCUUUGUCGAAGUCAGCUGAUACAGGAUUGUAUUGUGAAUUGCAAAAAGUGUGAGAAAUAAUUCCCAUCUUUCGGCGUAAAAAAGACCAUUGCAAUUAAUAUUUACGAAAAAGUUUAAUUAAAGAAAGUUUGUCCAAAGGUAUGCUAAAUCAAAAGAUUUACUGUGCCUAGUGAUUUAGUCUGAAAUACUCCAAUAUGGUGCUAGAUGAAUUUUCAGCCGUAUACUUAAAAAUAUUUGUGUGUUUCGUGGAAGAUAACUUAUAAUGUUAGAGUCCGUUAUGAAAUGUUUAAGUGGCUACCUAUUCACUAAACGUUCCUUAAUCAAAUGCUAUAAAGGAUUUUUGCUCCUUUUUGCUCCAUUUGGCCAAAUGUGGUAUGUUGCAGAUACAUACGUGAAGUUUACUAGAAGUUUGGAACAGCAACAAUAGGCAAGAAAGCGCUGUCAGAAAUUUUAUUUCGAAAAAUGUAAACAGCGAAAAUAUAUCUUAUGUGCAACUGGACAUUAUUAUGCAAAAAGUCUACAAUUUUAGAUCAUUUAUUAAAUAUAAUUUGCGCAAAUGUAAUCGUAAUCUGAAUUGAUUUAAGCAAAAACAUACACCCUGGCUAGCAUCUAGUGUUAAGCUUACGAUACACUGCCACGACAACAAUAUGAAUAUGGAGGGUCGGAAGACCUUAAGCUAUAACGAAGCAGGACCCCGAUUAAAGAGGAAAUUAGCUUCUGAACUUACCUCAGAAAGCAAUAAUUCAAAACUCAUAUUGCUACAUGCUGAUUUGGUUUACUCAAAGAAAUCAAAAGAAACCAAUAAAACUUAUGUAUUUAAAAAAAUGUGACUUUUAUCCUCCCUAUUCAGAAAUCAACCAACUAAAAUGCAAAUGUAGUAUAUAUUAAAUUUAAAACUUAUAAUACUUAUGAAAUUGCUUGCAAUCGUACCGAUAUUCAUCGGUCAAUAAAUCACAUGUAUGGUGACAAGGGUGAGGGCGUAGCCCAAAUAAAAAUAAAAAAAUCCGAUAUUUUGUAUUAAUAAAACUAACGUGUGCGUAAAAUUUCAA